rnacentral:rRNA from 55 species
CGGGCGGUUCGCCGCCCGCGACUCGGCGAGAAGUCCAUUGAACCUUAUCAUUUAGAGGAAGGAGAAGUCGUAACAAGGUUUCCGUAGGUGAACCUGCGGAAGGAUCAUUG